ACCCUGAUAAAAAGUAUCAUAAAAAUACGAUAAAUUUUAUUGUUACAACACCAUUUUUUCGAAAAAUAUUCACCAUUAAACAUAUUGUAAUUUACACAACACACUCACCAUCACCCCUAUUGUUCUAUACCAUUCGGCGAAUGGUAAAUGGCACUUUUACAAUAAAAAAUGGUGGUCGUUAUGUAUCUUAACCAUAAAAUUUUGAGAAAAUUUUCAUACACUUUUUCGCGAAAAACAAUAGAAUGUAUUGUGUUUUUAUGAGACAUUUUUAGGGCAAUUUUCAAAAGAUAACAAUAUAUCUUAAUGUUUUUUCAUUGUUCUUACAAUACAAAUACAAUUAAUUGAAUGGCGUCAAAUGAAUCGUUGUUACAAUAAAAAUACAAUAAUAUUUGUUGUUAUUUGUAAGCAGUUUUCGCAUUUGAAAAUCCAUAGAAUUUAUAUUUCUCGCUAACAUUUAUAUCCAGCACUAGCUGUCCCGGCAAACUUUGUCUUGCCAGGCUGUGGUGGUUUGACAACUGUUGAGCUCAUAACGUCACCGCACUCUAGAUUGGUUUUAUUUCGAUCGUGUUGAUUUCCUUCCCAGCUCACGAAAAUCAGUAUUUUAGCAUUUUUCUUACUUUUUUAGUUUAUUUUCAUAACUUUUUAUACAUAUAAACACAGCCACCAUGAAUACGAAUCGAACCGUACAAG